UACGUAAGUGGCGAGCGUUAUCCGGAAUUACUGGGCGUAAAGCGUGCGCAGGCGGUUGUGCAAGACCGAUGUGAAAUCCCCGGGCUUAACCUGGGAAUGGCAUUGGUGACUGCACGGCUAGAGUGUGUCAGAGGGGGGUAGAAUUCCACGUGUAGCAGUGAAAUGCGUAGAGAUGUGGAGGAAUACCGAUGGCGAAGGCAGCCCCCUGGGAUAACACUGACGCUCAUGCACGAAAGCGUGGGGAGCAAACAGG
rnacentral:rRNA from 1 species